rnacentral:rRNA from 1 species
CCUACGGGGGGCUGCAGUGGGGAAUAUUGGACAAUGGGGGCAACCCUGAUCCAGCCAUGCCGCGUGUGUGAAGAAGGCCCUCGGGUUGUAAAGCACUUUCAGUGAGGAAGAACGCCUGGUGGUUAAUACCCAUCAGGAAAGACAUCACUCACGGAAGAAGCACCGGCUAACUCCGUGCCAGCAGCCGCGGUAAUACGGAGGGUGCGAGCGUUAAUCGGAAUUACUGGGCGUAAAGCGCGCGUAGGUGGCUUGAUAAGCCGGUUGUGAAAGCCCCGGGCUCAACCUGGGAACGGCAUCCGGAACUGUCAAGCUAGAGUGCAGGAGAGGAAGGUAGAAUUCCCGGUGUAGCGGUGAAAUGCGUAGAGAUCGGGAGGAAUACCAGUGGCGAAGGCGGCCUUCUGGACUGACACUGACACUGAGGUGCGAAAGCGUGGGUAGCAAACAGGAUUAGAUACCCCAGUAGUC